GGGGGUAGUUUUUAGUACGUAUGCGCCAUGGAUGGCGAAUCGUGCAUGCUGCUAUUAAGGUCUAGCAGUAUCUUUUGAAAAUUUUCUACCUCC
rfam:Glossina palpalis gambiensis isolate 146720 unplaced genomic scaffold Scaffold212, whole genome shotgun sequence.